rnacentral:rRNA from 1 species
UGACUNGAGUGCAGAAGGGGAGAGUGGAAUUCCAUGUGUAGCGGUGAAAUGCGUAGAUAUAUGGAGGAACACCAGUGGCGAAAGCGGCUCUCUGGUCUGUCACUGACGCUGAGGCUCGAAAGCGUGGGUAGCGAACAGGAUUAGAUACCCUGGUAGUCCACGCCGUAAACGAUGAGUGCUAGGUGUUAGGCCCUUUCCGGGGCUUAGUGCCGGAGCUAACGCAAUAAGCACUCCGCCUGGGGAGUACGACCGCAAGGUUGAAACUCAAAGGAAUUGACGGGGGCCCGCACAAGCGGUGGAGCAUGUGGUUUAAUUCGAAGCAACGCGAAGAACCUUACCAGGUCUUGACAUCCCGAUGCUAUUCUUAGAGAUAGGAAGUUACUUCGGUACAUCGGAGACAGGUGGUGCAUGGUUGUCGUCAGCUCGUGUCGUGAGAUGUUGGGUUAAGUCCCGCAACGAGCGCAACCCUUAUUGUUAGUUGCCAUCAUUAAGUUGGGCACUCUAGCGAGACUGCCGGUAAUAAACCGGAGGAAGGUGGGGAUGACGUCAAAUCAUCAUGCCCCUUAUGACCUGGGCUACACACGUGCUACAAUGGUCGGUACAACGAGUUGCGAGCCGGUGACGGCAAGCUAAUCUCUGAAAGCCGAUCUCAGUUCGGAUUGGAGGCUGCAACUCGCCUCCAUGAAGUCGGAAUCGCUAGUAAUCGCGGAUCAGCACGCCGCGGUGAAUACGUUCCCGGGCCUUGUACACACCGCCCGUCACACCACGAGAGUUUGUAACACCCGAAGUCGGUGAGGUAACCUUUUAGGGGC